rnacentral:rRNA from 1 species
AGCGAACGCUGGCGGCAGGCCUAACACAUGCAAGUCGAACGAACUCUUCGGAGUUAGUGGCGGACGGGUGAGUAACACGUGGGAACGUGCCUUUUGGUUCGGAAUAACUCAGGGAAACUUGUGCUAAUACCGAAUGUGCCCUCCGGGGGAAAGAUUUAUCGCCAUUAGAGCGGCCCGCGUCUGAUUAGCUAGUUGGUGAGGUAACGGCUCACCAAGGCGACGAUCAGUAGCUGGUCUGAGAGGAUGACCAGCCACACUGGGACUGAGACACGGCCCAGACUCCUACGGGAGGCAGCAGUGGGGAAUCUUGCGCAAUGGGCGAAAGCCUGACGCAGCCAUGCCGCGUGAAUGAUGAAGGUCUUAGGAUUGUAAAAUUCUUUCACCGGGGACGAUAAUGACGGUACCCGGAGAAGAAGCCCCGGCUAACUUCGUG